rnacentral:lncRNA from 1 species
CCAUGCAGCACUGCCGUCCUGUUGCUCCGAGGCCAGUGGGCCGGCCCUGACGGGGGAACACUUGGGGGGCUGGGUGGGCUGAGGCGCUGAGGAUGCAGCAAGGGAGCUGAGGAGGAGACUCCCGAGCCACAGCCUGACACACACACAUCCAGAGCUUGCUGCUGCGCACUGCCCUCCAUCAGGGUAAGACUACGCUGGGCUGGUAGAAAGCAGGAUGUGGUGUAGAGUGCUGCGAAGGGAAGCUUUGCUGGUCACAGCCUGACAGUUUCUCAUGCUCGGACAGUAGCAGCAGGGAUUUUGGCAGCAAAGAGCUCAGGGAUAGCUUACAGGUUGUGGUGCUGAAGUUGAGUGCUGCAGUGACUGGCAGGCGAGCAAGCAGUGCUGAGAGCUGCUGGCAUGUUGCUUCUCCCUUGCUGGGGGGACUCUCUAGUUGGCCUGGACCAUGAGCAAUGAGUCUACCGUCUGGAACAUCCUACCAGAAAACUCCACAGAGAUCCCAUUUAAGGCAAAGGAGCAACAAGAUGGCUAUGUGCUCGCCCUGGUGAUCCUCUCCAUCUUCCUGGUAGGAACGCUGAUCUUCAUCUCGGUCCUCCUCAUCACCUGCCGUCGCUGCUGUCGUGGAGGGCAAUGCUGUGACAGGUGUGAUACAAAAAGUCUUUGUAUUUAACUGUACAUUUAGCAGUUCAACCUGACCCCCUCGUCCAUUGAGAUUUAUAACGAGUCCAGCAAUACAUGAACUCCAAAACACUAUACGGGGCAAACAGUUAGGACUUAUAUUAGUGAAUGAUAUUAGGUUCAAUAAGAAGUGACCUGUUCAGUUUUUUGGCACUGUGCCAAAUAGGUGUUCAUUUGCCUCUAUGAGGUGAAUGAACAAUUACAUUUCACAGACAGACUAAUCUUCCUGAGCUGAGCUCACAUGCAACUGCUAUUUGAACAGACCUGUACUGAUAUUGUAUGUGUACACUUACAUAAUAGAUAAGGCUCGCUGCAAUUGGAAAUGUUUACUCCUGCCAAGUGAAUCCCAAGCCCAUCUUUGGUACGAUUCCACUGCCGCAUAAUACAGCGAUCCAUUAAACAAAUGAAAGAAAGGAAGCUGUAUAGCAAUAAUUAUGUAACCCUACUCGUGUGCAUGUUAAAGCGGCACAACACAGUGUAUUCACUCAUUAAAAUGAUCUGCUGUGUGAGUGUCAGAACUCCCUGUGGGGCUGUUGUUAAAAACACCUUGGUGGAAGCACAUUCAAUAUUCAUGCUCCUUUAUUUGUGAUUCACCUGUGUUCAUUCAGCAAUAACACGGCUACCCUUGAGUUGCUUCGUCCCUCUCUACAGCAGCGGGCAUCAGCGGCACAUACACUUAAUUGUAUGAGAGCGCACUGGCUAGAUACAGAUAAACAGAGAGCGCAGAGGCUGAGCUGUGAAAAGGCGAGGCUCGCCUGGCGGAGAACAGGAGGAGAAUCACUAGACUGGUACAAAUGAUGAGUGUAAUGAGAUUUCAUAGCAGCCAUCGGCAGUGAUUAAUCUCGCUUCUCAACCCAGCCCUGUGUGCACAUGGCGAACACACACACACACACUCGAAUUCACAUAUAAGGUAUGGAAUAGCGGGAGCCACAGAGGAAAUGAAAGCCAGAGAAAGCACAGAUCUGGGUGGAUGCACUUCACACACACACACACACACACACACACACACCCACCACACACACAAACACACACACACAAAACCCUCAUAUAUCUGCACAAAGAAAUCAGAUGGAUGCCUGGAAAGAGCUUUCAAGCUCCUUUUUCUGCCUCAUCAAGUAAAUCCUGUACAUGGGAUUUAAGAAGGACUAUGGAGGGUCAACAGCAGUUAAGAAUAAUAAAUGACCUUGAUUGAAAUAUUUCUAUAUGCCCUUAAAGAUGAGUGGAAUCAUGCAAUUUAAUAAAGCACCACGUUUUAUCAGUUCAAGGGGUCCGUUGGCCCUUUACAAGCAGGCAGCUAUUUAGACAAACAGCAUAGAAAACAUUCAUUGUAUGUAAACUCCAGCCACACAGAAAGGUCAGAUGGUAGUGCAGCUGAUCUCCGUGGUUGCCUGCACUGCUGCCCACAUCAGCGGGAUCCGGUAGAUAAAAGACAGACUUCGGCUGUAAUC